rnacentral:tRNA from 1 species
GGCAAGAUGGCCGAGUGGUCUAAGGCGCUGCGUUUAGGUUCGUUCUAAACAUCCUCCGCAGUCCUCACGGGCGUGGGUUCGAAUCCCACUCUUGUCA